CUGCCUCUGCCACCGCGAGCACCCAGACCCAGCCACCACCACCACCCACGGCAGCGGGAACCCGCUGCCAAGCGCCAGACCAAGGCAGCCCGCGGCCUCCGCGUCGGCCCGCCCUCUCCCUCGGCCGCCGUCUCGCCAGUCACCGCCCGCGCUGCGCGGCCGCCACCGACGCGCCAGAAGAAGCCAACCUGGCCGCCCGUGCCUCACGCCCCCGAUCCAACAGCGCGCAAGCCGACCCGGCCGCGCUCGCGCGAGCGGCGAGCGCAGCGCCACCGCGCCUCCAAUUAGCGAUCUCGGCCCGCCACGCUUGGGAAACAUGCGGUCAACUGGCCUCCUCCUGUCCCAUGGCACUGCCGGCCUGCCGUGCCUUCCAGGUUUCCCGGCGCCACCGUCGCGCCGGCCACAGCGGAGCAGCGCUGGCGCCGCGCCGGCAGCACUGCAACGCUUGGCAAGCGAGCUCCCACGGCCCGGCGUGGCGUGCAGCGCCGGCCCCAACCGCGGCCGUGCGCCCGCGCUCCGACCGUCCGGUUCGGCCGCCUGCCGCGACCGCCGGACCCUGCCUUCCUCGCGGCGAGAGCCUUCCCUCCUCCCCUUGAAGGCCUGAACCCUGCCGCACCUCGGGUCGCCUUCUCCGCGCCAUCCCGCGCUGGCGCCUCUGUUCCGACCCGCCGAAUCCAUGGCUCCGCGCGCGGACGCAGAACCAUCAUCGAUCAGCGCCACCCGCCCAGCGCCUCCUCUCGCCGCCGAGAUCGCGGGAUGGGAGCCCCGGAACCGACUCGAUCCAGGCCUGCUGCAAAGAGUCUGGGGAUUCUUGAAGCGCCCGUGCCCCCUUGAGAUGUUCAUACUGAUACGGACACUUCGCAACAGCACCGAAAACAGGAUGGAAACGGAACAUAUUCGUCCAUUCGUGGUUGAGACAGCACUUAUGUGCAAUUUGAUUGUUGGAGGAAGCACCAUCAGCACCUACAAUGCAUUUGUGUGAAGAAAAUGAAGUUCAUGCGCUGGUGCAUUUAUGAUAGUUCGUGCAGAUUGCUUACUUCAACAUUUCAACCCUACUGACCCUAGCAGUGUGAACUGAACAUGUAUCUGCCUAUAAAAUGUUCAAUGGUUUCCUAUAAAUCUGGUGAAGAAGGAUAAAACUGUAAACUUCCAAAAAAGGCUGAAGUGGAAUAGGAAAAGAAAUUGAGGAUAAGACCCUCUAGGAUAGGCUGUCACAGGCUCACAAGUUCUGUGCAUGUCUAUUCUUCUGGUAACUUUUAAGGCACUUAACUUUUUCCAGCUUGGCAUUAUCACAUUCUAGGCUGUUUUCUGCUAGUCUGCCCACGUUACACAUAAGAAGCAUUUUUGGCACCUCCAACCCAAUAAAUUAAUAAUAUCCGCUUUGACCAUAUUGGUAGCUUCACUCUUCAUUUUUCUUUUUUGCAACAUUUGUCCGUUUCCUAACUUCUGGUGCUUGCAGCAUAGGUACCCCAAAUCUUGAUAAAAGAAACCAAGAGAAAAUAGAAUGUGAAAGAGAAGGGAGAAAGGUAUUUUAAAAUUGUGAAACCAUCUCACAACUACAUAUUGAAACAUUUGAACUUCAGUUUUCUAAGAUGAUAAUUGCAGUUUAGUGAUCUGAACCAAAAUUACACGAACUUAUAUGCAAUUAGGCAUUCAACUUCUAUCGUUAAUUCAUUGUUAUGAUGAUAAGUGGGAAAUUGUCCUGGAUACUGCUGCAACCAGAAAUGGGAAAAAAAACAUUGCAUCCAAAUGUAUGAAGAAAGUACCAACAAGAUUAAAUGUGUCAUCAGGUCACUUGAUAUAGUAAGAAUUUGGAAGUGAAAUAAAUAUAAUACCUAGAAGAAAAUCUCAGAGACAAACAAAAGAUUGGUUCAACAAGAAGAAGUUCCCCAUUUCUCUUUUCUUUAUAUAUGCUUUUCACACUGCAGUUUUAGGUUCCAGUGGCACAUAUAUCGGAGGGGAUGAAGAGUUGAAUCAAGAGGAGCAGUGGGUAGUACUCUGAUAUGGAAACUUAUACUAAUACAGCGCUGCCCUACAUCCCAUGAAAAGUAACACUAACCUGGGUAGUUCAUUUAUCCAGCCUAUGAAAAUAGUGUACUGGAAAUUUACUGUUUUCUUGAGUCUACAAAAGAUUAAGCUGUACCAUCAAGUAUUUAGUGUCUAAGAGAUCAAGUGCUAGCCCCUAUUAAUAGAUAAGACUGCAUCCUUAAGAGUUGCAACACAAAUAUAUAGCUGGGCAAAAUAGUACUUCAUUCUUUCAGUUAUAAAUAUGCCAGAACCAUGACCACCUACAGAUAUAUCCAGGGCAGUGACAAACAUGUCAGAAAUUGUAGACAAGGAAUGAAUCAAAUAUUUUGAAAAAAAAAUCUUAGAGAUUGUGCUUAACUGGAGUAGUAACAGAAACACAACUUUUUGAGGGGAUUAAAAAGAAAAAAACAGAAAAAAGGAAGGAAGCAAUAAACUCUCACCUAGUGCCAGAAUUUUGUCAGGAUCCUCCCUCGAUUUUUUGGAGAAGGUAGGAGCGUUUCCUUGGCCAAUUAAGGAGGAUUACUCCUCCCCUCGUUGAGCUGUAUCCAAUAUAGAUACCCCUACCCUUUGGCUCAGCACAUCUUCCCUUUUUUUUUUGAACCUGGAACUCAGCACAUCUUCCCUGGAUCCCGUCUUCCUCCUGCAUUCCCCCCAGACGCAGAUCCUGCAGCAAUCUUCCCCCAAAGCGCGACCAGGCAAAGGGAGCUAUUGUUGCCUGCACUAUGGCCUCCUCCCAGGUUCCGAAACUGUCGGAGACUGCUCUCGGAGGCCUUUGCAAGGUGUGUAAAGAACCUGAACAGAAGGAAAAGAUGUUCCUGAUCUGUGGCCACUCUCUUUGCAUGUACAAGUACUACCACAUCCGGUGCCUGAGUCCUGAACAGAUCGCUAGCAAACAGCAAAUAGGUAAACAAUGCUGGUACUGCCCAUCAUGCCUCUGCCGGCGUUGUUUCUGUGACAUGGACGAUAAUAAGAUCAUCAUGUGUGACGGCUGUGAUGAGGCCUAUCACCUCUACUGCCUGAGUCCUCCUCUCACUUCCGUGCCCAAGGGGCAUUGGUACUGCCAGUCCUGCAUUGAGGCGAAGGCACGGAAGAGGGAGGUGAAGAAGUACGAGAAGAGGAUCCUGCAGCUCCACGGGAAGCGUGAUCGUGCUUUGGUGAAGAGUGACAAGUAUGUGGGCAUGAACCUGCUGCUGGAGGCCUUGGCGAAGAUGGCUGAGGAGGAGAAAAUGGCUGCGAAGCUGAAACGCGAUGAGGAGGCAGCCGCCGCCGCUAUGGAGAUGCUGAGAGGUGAUGAGGAGGAGGCGACCACCGCAGAGUAGGAGGCAUGGAGAUUGUGAGCAGGUGGAUUUGUGUUCCCUGCCAUGAGUUCAAACCAGCACAAGGUUUCUGUCCGUGGAGCAGCUCCCAGCUGAAGACUUGAUGGUCAGCAGCAGGGACGAGCGGCCGAGGGUCUCUGAAACGUGUGCCGUUUGAGCUGGUGGUAGAGAAUAUGAGUCCGUCAGGAUUGCUCUUAUCCUCUGUAAUCGUUUGUUUUUAUCUUGGCGAGGUCAUACUUGACGAACUUGCCGGCGUCGUAACUUUAGAAGACUGUGAGCACCCUUGAUACCUUUGCUGGGUACUUGAACUGAAAUGAAAUGAUGGAUAUUGGUAGACUAAA